rnacentral:rRNA from 1 species
UACGGGGGGGGCAAGCGUUGUUCGGAAUUACUGGGUGUAAAGGGUUCGUAGGCGGUGCGGCAAGUUGGGAGUGAAAUCUCUGGGCUCAACCCAGAGACGGCUUCCAAAACUGCUGUGCUUGAGUGUGGGAGAGGCUCGUGGAAUUGCAGGUGUAGCGGUGAAAUGCGUAGAUAUCUGCAGGAACACCCGUGGCGAAAGCGGCGAGCUGGACCACUACUGACGCUGAAGAACGAAAGCUAGGGGAGCAAACAGG